ACUCACAGUCACAGAACUAUAGCUGAGCAGAGCUGAGGUUGACAGAUGGACUCUGGAAGCAUUCUCCAGCUCUAAGCUGUGGGAAAACAGUCCUUGCAAAAUGCUGAGCACAUAUGGCUGUUGUGGCUGGCCUUUGAAUGGUUCAACAACCAAAAGCUUCAAACUUCAAAUAAUAGCCAACCCUCCUUGCUGUUGCAACUAGCAAAUGUGAAGGGCAGGAAAUAUAAUGACAUGAUUCAACUUAAAAGAUUUGACAUACCAUCUAUUCAAUCCCAUUUUCUUAAGAGAAAUCACCAAAAACUGCUAGAGAACUAUCUUUCAUCCAGUUUCUUUAGAGCUUCAGUCACCAAUGCAAACAAACAGUUUUCAGGAAGGAUGUGACAAUACAGCACAUGGACUGUAAAACAACCCAGAAAAUAGACAUAUUGAAAGAACUCCAACAAUUUUCAAAUCUGUCUCAGAAUUCCAGCAUAAAUUUUCCUGGAAAAAUAGCAGUGCACUUACCAUGACAGAAGAAGACAGAUGUCACUUCACCUUAUUUUGCAUUCCUGUGGUCAGCACUUCUAAUAACUGCAGUGACAACCCUAGAAAGCCUUAAAUUCUGGGAGUUUUUCAUCUCCUAAGUUCUUCAACUCUCUGAAGGCUGAUGUCUUCUUGGUAACCCUGUAGGUUGGAGGUUGGUCAUGUCAUGUAGGAGCUACAAAGAAUAUCCUUCUGCAGGUUGACCUACACAGCCCAAAUGUGGUGCGUAAUGCUCAAACCCUUUGUGAAAGAUUCAGAUAAUGACCUCUACUUCACAUCCAUCAUUCAGUCAUUACAACAAUAUAUGCUGUAGUUAACACAAGAAUCUUGUCGCUAUUUGAAAAUCACCUCAGUAAUGUCAGCAAAGUACUGAAUCACAGAAUUGUGUGGGUUGGAAGGGACCUUAAAGACCACCUAAUUCAAACCUCUCCCAUGGGCAGGGACACCUCCCACUGGAUGAGGUUGCCCAAAGCCCCAUACAGUCUGUCCUUGAGGACUUCCAGCAAUGGUGCAUCCAUAACUCCUCUGGGCAACCUGUUCCAGUGCCUCACAACCCUCAUAGUAAAGAAUUUUUUCCUAAUGUCUAAUCUGAAUCUGCUUUCUUUUAGUGUGUAAAUCCACUCUCCCUUGUCUAUUGUUAUACUCCCUGAUAAAGGAGUCUCUCCCCAUAAGGAAUAGCUCAUCGAAGUCAUGGUAUUUCUCCCAUUUGUACUGGGAAUAGAAAGUGGAUUGUUUUCAUGUCCAGAUGCUAUACCAUCACUAUUACCCUAAUUGCUAGUCUCAUCAAAAAGAUCACAGUUGAAUGGGGAAUGAAAUUGUUUCUGGCGGUUUGCUUGGCCAUUUAUGCAUAGUAAAGGUGCUUUCCUACUCUUUUCUGAGGUCUACUUGACUGGAGAGAAUAGGUAUGAAUUGUUCCCAAGAUUGCUGAGAUUCUUUUUAAAGAUAUAUUUUAAUAUUCAGAAACAAUAUUGUAUAACUUAAAGGUUGUGGAAUUGCAGUAACUGCUAUGUACAUAGCUAGAUAGGCAGAAAUGAACAACCGUAUUCUGCUGUCAUUCCAUAUGAUAAAGUCUGAAAUUUUGGAUGAUCUAGAAAUCACCUAAGUUGUAGUUUCCUCUCUAGUAUUCUACACAGCAGAAGUCCUCUUUCCCAGAUGAUUUUACUGUUUAAGCCAUGGAUACCUUAGUCCUCUAGGUAUGGUUUCUGAGGAAAAAAGGUACAUGAACAAGGACUACAGUUCUAGGAACACUCCUUCAUCAGCCCUGGUACAUGUGAACAAGGAUUUAAUUCCAGUGUAUCUCCUGCAAGUGAUUCUGUGUUUAAAGACCUUUUUUUGCCUGUUGUUACAACCAAAGGGCAAUGAAAAGGCAAAGAAAAAUGACGAAGCCUUGCAGUUGACUCAUUUCUUCUUCCAGAAACUAAGAACAGUGUAAUAAACCAAAAGUGUAUGAUGUACAGCUGACACCAAGCAGCUUCAUCUUCUGCUGUUCAUCCUUUUAUCUGACAUCCUCAGCAUUAUGUACUUUAAUUGUAUCUGUCAUUACGACACUUGAGAUAAGAAUGGGAACUCAAAAAUCAGGGACUUUAUGAAAUCAAAUAGCUAGACAAAGUGAGUGUGGCCCAGCAAUCCCUGAAACCUUUCCAAUAAGGAAAGCUUUUGACAGUAAACUGCUGGUUUUGUUUUAGGCAUGAAAAAAGUCUUAAAGACUCUAAAAUAUGUCAUUUUACUCCUACAUAUAUUGAUUUAUCUGGUGAUACUAGUUGGCACAUUCUUCCUCCAAAUCUGGUUAUUAAUAAAGAAAAUUUUCAAAAUUACAGGGGAAGCAAUGCAUGAAGGGUGAAGGUCCCAAAGGAAAGCAGCUGAGCUAAGUUUGUGUAUCUAAUUCCCUUAUGGUCUUUUCAACUCAUAAACAAAGAAUUCGACAGGGAUUCAUUUAGACUAUAGAAGAAAAUAAAGUUUCUG